CCUGAGCCUAGACGCAUGGCAGGUGUGGCUGCUAUGUCACAUUUGCAUCAGUAGGUGGCAGUAGAGAGGCUAUGGAUGCUCAAAGUUCUGACCUAUGAAUGUCUGAAUGAUUUGUAGCCUAAUAGU